rnacentral:misc_RNA from 1 species
GGCCCUUUAAAUAGCUGGGUCAAGACCUCACGACAUUCUUCUUGAUCUCUCUCGAAUCGUUACUGGCCUCUUUCGAGCACAAAGUUUUCGUUCGAAAAAGAAUCAUAUCAGAGCCCCUUAAGAGACAAAAGCCAUCUUGCUCUGUUGGGCCUUUCCCCGCCCCCAUCCCGGCCGAAUGCCGAGCCACUUCUGGCGGUGCGCGUGCCAAGCGCCUACGACGUGGGCGAGUGAGAGCGAGUCGUCGCUGCGGAUGUCGGCGGGCGGGUCCUGGACGGCGUGGCGCCGGGGCGAGCGGCGGCAGUGAACGCGUUUGUGGUUCUCAUCGGAUAGGCAAAAAGUGUCCGCGCGACUCGAGCGUAUGCCACACCCGGCCCUCGCACCGCCUGCUGGUGUGGGGCGCCUGAGAGCCACUCUACGGUGCGCGGGGUGGGUGGGCGGCGCUUGAGGGCACGGGCCCUCCUCGGGCGACCGGGUCGGCGCACUGCUGCAACGCGUGUCUACCGGUGCUUCGCACCACGCGGAUGCGGCCUGCGACAGGGUCGGGGGUGGAGCGGCGUUGGACCUCACGUUGUGCGGCAGAGAAAUAGGCAUGCCGAAAAGAGGAAAAAAAAACUUCUACUUCUGUUGAGGGGUUAGAGAAGCUGAUUUCGGGUAACUUUACGUGGCGCAACUCGAAGGUCUUUGGCGUGAGUUACAUCAGAGAUUGCUUGGAGAGUGUCGACGUCCAGUCCAGCGGGUCCAUCGAUGAGAUGAAGCCCGAGACGAGUGUAUCGGCGACGAUUCCGUCACAGAAGGGCAUGACGAAGUGCGGCAUUGUGCUGAGCGGUUACUUAAACACAGUCCCAGCUGACAGGCAAAGGUAACACUCUGAUUCGUUCAAGAUUGUAGCGGAGAAACGGUAGCUGCUAUGGCAGCGGUACGCUUGAUAUGAAGGGCUUUAGUGUCGUUUAGAUGGCACUCGUUCCCCAGGUCAAGGCCCAGCUCGAUCGGCCAGUUUACUUUGCCUGGGCGUACGGCAAGGAAGUCGGCUGCCUGAAAGAUUGUUUUCUCCCGCAGUCUGUGAAGAGCAAAGGUGCCAAGAAUGAUGACUGGCUUGUUGGCGAUCUCACCUCCAACGAGAUGAUCGUGGCGCACAAGCUUAUCUGCACGUGCAAGCUACACGUGAAGAGGACCGCCGCCCACUGGUCAGGCGCGGUGACGAAGAACAGCUGCAACGCGAUUGACUACGGUGCCAGGCUUGUCUUCAAGAUCUGCAAGAUUGCAGAGGGCAUCGUGCGAAAUGGAGAGAGCAACCACGUCUUCAGUGCGUCGAGCACUAUCAUGUCCAUGAGUGUGAUUCACGGCGGUAUCGCUAUUAAAACGAUUCCCGUCCAUUGCAUUUUCAACUAUGAGUUCUGCAACCCACCUCGAAUGGCGCAUGUAGAUAGCCAACAAUGCGCUCCUGGCUACGUUGCCAGCGAUCCGCUUCCGGAGACAAAGGAGUGCAGUGGUGCUGGCAUAGUCAUCGAAAACCUUCUCUCCGUCCCCUCGCUCCACGACGCUCACGAAAAAAAAAUGCCUUCUGCGCUGGUUAGCGCUAUGACUGGUGGCCGGGAUAUGCGAAAACUUGGUGGCAGCACGGAGGCUGACCAGUACGCUCUUAUCGGUGUUCCUCUGAUCGUCUACGGCCCUGGCAGUAUCAAAGUUGCGAACCAGGAGAAUGAGCUUGUCCCGAAGAAGCAUUUGAAUGGCUGUGGGAAGAAACGGAUCAUGAACAUUACGCGCAAGAAUCACGAUAUGCAGUCCCACAUGUGUGCGGCCCGAUAACCCCUUUGAUACGCUUUUUUUUUGUCAGCUCCUAUCGAAGAGAAAGAAAACGUGGCGACGCUGUCGAUAGCAGCAUUGUAAACAGUGCCGCGAUCGCGGUGCAUCGUCACUUUCCUCAGCGCUCUCUUUCUACUCCUUUGCUCAACUGUACUAAUCAUCUCGGACGUCGGUAGUCGAUGUUCGGCGUUCUAUCGGCUUUGAAAAAAGAAGAAGACUAUCUCUCUGG